CUUUAAUGGAGAGUUUGAUCCUGGCUCAGGACGAACGCUGGCGGCGUGCCUAAUACAUGCAAGUCGAGCGGGUUUUACCUUCGGGUAAAGCUAGCGGCGGACGGGUGAGUAACACGUAGG
rnacentral:rRNA from 1 species